CUCAGAAGCCAUCUCAGCAAUAGUGCAACUGAUUCCAGUUUUUAGAGUUGGCUUAAGUGGUAAACACUUUUGUCUAGUGUCACUGCAGAAAUACUCACGAAUGUAUCACUGAGCUUCUACGCUACAUUUAAAGUCUGCUUGAUGCCCAGGUUCUGCUACAUGGAUACACGCACCAAGAAAUGACAGCCCCCAACUUCAUCCCCUACUGGAAGGACAACCUUGAAUCCAGGCUCACGGAGGCGCUGAUCCUAAUGGGACGUUGCCCUUGAGAGCAAAGUGUUCUUAUUUUAGAGAAGAGCAGCAUGGUGGCCAAAAAAGUGGAUCCACAUUCUCUUUCCCUCGGAUCUCUUCACCCAGGUGAGGGCACUGACAAAGAAAUGGAAAGACUUGCCAUAAGUGUAUAGAUCCUAAGCGGAAGGUGUGCAUGGAGUUUAAACCGAGAUGACUCCACAUCCUGCACUUAGUCCAAAACUAGCUGGAAACCUACAAGUAUACCUUUAACAUCAAAGCAGGCUGCUCAUGUACUUAAGUGCACAUCUUCUUACCAAACUGUUGUCGCUGCACAUUUGAGCUGGAAGGAAUCCUUUAUUCCUAUAAAAAGGAGGCAGAUACCAAGUACAUUCUGGACUGUUUUGUCAGAGACAGCAUCAAGUUGCAAAUAAGAUUAUCUUCAGAGUCUCUUCUUGUAACUUGAAGUUACUUAAAGAGAUAGAGAGCACAAGUAGGAAGAGCGGCAGACAGAGG